rnacentral:lncRNA from 1 species
AUGUGCAGGGAGCAGAGACGCAGGGAGGAGGAGACGCUGGCUGGAGCCAGAGCUGGGAGCACCUGCCAGAACCCAUCCAGUGCCCGGCCCUGCUGGCCAGUGCUCCUGCCUAUCCCAGCUCUGGCAGGUUGGGUGAGAAGGCCUGAGCAGGUGGGUGUUCACCCCUCCUUCCUCUCUGUGUUCUCUGUCCCUCCUCCCCUCCCUCCAUCCUCCCCCUUCCCUUCUCCCUCCUCCCAGCAUCCAGCCCACUAUAUGGACACUGACGGGACCAGGAUUCUCUCUUCACUCACCCCACCGGGGUCCCCCCACGCUGACUUUCCCCCACGCAACCUGGCCCCGUGACCACUACCGCCCUCUGCCCUGGAGCUCUGAGCGGGGUGUGUGUUCCGUGUCUCAAGUGGCAUGCUCUGAGCCAUAGCACCCACCCAGGCAAGUUGGGUGGGCCACCUGGAGGGGCAUCUGGUGUGUCCUGGAGUGCAGGCUGCACCACCCCUGGACUCGCCUGGUGUGGUUGUGGUGCAUCCCUCAGUGGCAGUGGCAGGAGGGGGACCCAGCAGCUGUGACGCCCUGCCAGGUCCCCCUCCAAGGGUUGGAAGGAGCACCCCUGGGGGCGGCUCCUGCCUGGGGGACCCUCUUCCUCCUCGGAGCCUUCCUGGGUCUGGCUUGCCUUGUCUCUGCCCAAGUACGAGGUGGAGGCAUUGCUCAGGAGCAAGCCGAGAAACAAAUCAGGUCAUUUCUGUGGUUUUAUUUUUUUAUUUUUUAUUUUUUUUAAGAUUCUUUUUUUUUAAUUUUUAUUUAUUUAUGAUAGUCACAGAGAGAGAGAGAGAGAGGCAGAGACACAGGCAGAGGGAGAAGCAGGCUCCAUGCACCGGGAGCCCGAUGUGGGAUUCGAUCCCGGGUCUCCAGGAUCGCGCCCUGGGCCAAAGGCAGGCGCCAAACCGCUGCGCCACCCAGGGAUCCCAUUUCUGUGGUUUUACAUGUGAGUAAGACGCUCGGAUAUAACAAUCGGAGAAGAAAGAAGGAAGAAUGGUCAAAACUCAUGCUAGUAAUUUACAUUUAGGAUUUUUCUCAGAAUGACAUUAAAUAGCAAAACACAUUGUGUGGAAACCAAACAAAACUCUGGAUUUCAGCCCCACUAAUGGCCCAUUUUCCCACUUUGUUGGGCUGGAACCCUGCAUUUUCAUUUUGCUCUGGGCCCCUGCACAUAGGCCUGACCCAUGUCCCCACCCUGGGCUCACCCCUGUCUCUAUCCCUCCCCACUCUGCCUCUUUCCUCCUUAGGCUCCUGCUCCAUAACCUUUCAUGGUUCCUCCCACUGUCUGGCCUCACUGUGAGCCCUCGAGGAUACCUUCCAACAACACUGUGCUCCACUUCCCGCCGCCUCCCUGUUGACCCCUGGACCCCACAAUUUAUAAGGGAGAAGGGCCCCUUUGUCCUCCUCAUCUCCCAGACAGGGUGGGAUUUGGCAAAGCAGAGAAGGGAGCCCGGGACCUGCCUGGUGGUGCUGAUUCCUGGCUCGUGUCCCUUCUCUGCACACAUCAUGGAGGAGCCCCUGCGGUAUUGGGGCCUGGCAGUCUCUGCACAUCUCCACUGUGUGACCCAGGGAGCCUCCCCCAGGACACUUAGCCUGCUCCGUGAACGCCCUCCUCCCAGGACCACUCUGGGGCCUCCAGAUCUCGUGGGAGGCCGCACAUGGUGCCCCUGGCUGCCCCUUGGGGACCUCUACUACUGGCAAGGAAAGAGAAACUGGUAAUCGGUGCUCCCAAUGUGCAUGGCAAUGCCACUGGCUGGCCAGGACCUGCUCCCGGCGUUUGAAAGGUCCCCUGAGCUCAUCUGCUUGUUCAUUUGCACUGUCUAUGGAGAAAGCAAAUGUCAACUUGUGCUGCCCAGACCGCUGCUUGCACUCCCCUCAUUAGUGGUGUCUGAAAUCAUAGAGUUUCUC